rnacentral:rRNA from 1 species
CCCGCUGAACUUAAGCAUAUCAAUAAGCGGAGGAAAAGAAACCAACAGGGAUUACCCUAGUAACGGCGAGUGAAGCGGUAACAGCUCAAAUUUAAAAUCUGGCCUUCACGGGUCCGAGUUGUAAUUUGUAGAGGAUAUUUCGGACAAGGCUGUGGUUUAAGUUUCUUGGAACAGAAUGUCACAGAGGGUGAGAGUCCCGUCUAGAACCAAUGGCUGCGUCCAUGUGAAAUUCCUUCGACGAGUCGAGUUGUUUGGGAAUGCAGCUCAAAAUGGGUGGUAAAUUUCAUCUAAAGCUAAAUAUUGGCCAGAGACCGAUAGCGCACAAGUAGAGUGAUCGAAAGAUGAAAAGUACUUUGAAAAGAGAGUUAAACAGUAUGUGAAAUUGUUGAAAGGGAAGCGCUUGCAACCAGACUUGUGUGUAGCGGCUCCCCUGGUCUUCUGACCAGGCUAUUCUGCUAUAUCCGGGCCAGCAUCGAUUUAGGUGGCCAGUUAAAGGCUCUGGGAAUGUAUCUACCUCCGGGUCGACUUAUAGCCCUGGGUGUAAUGUGGCCUACUUGGAUCGAGGAACGCGCUUUUGCUCGGAUGCUGGCGUAAUGGUUGUAAGCGGCCCGUCUUGAAACACGG